rnacentral:misc_RNA from 1 species
GAUGAAGAACGCAGCGAAAUGCGAUAAGUAAUGCGAAUUGCAGAAUUUCCGUGAGUCAUCGAAUCUUUGAACGCACAUUGCGCCCUGUGGUAUUCCGCAGGGCAUGCCUGUUCGAGCGUCAUUUAACCCCCUCAAGCUCUGCUUGGUGUUGGGCGUUUGUCUUAGCUUCUAGCAUAGACUCGCCUUAAAAUUAUUGGCAGUCACCUCUCUGGCUUCGAGCGCAGCACUAUUGCGCCCAGUCUUUGGGAGUGUGGUUACCCAGAAGCCCUCUUUUCGGUUGACCUCGGAUCAGGUAGGGAUACCCGCUGAACUUAAGCAUAUCAAUAAGCGGAGGA